ACUCCCUUGCACUUCAAGGCCAGGUGCCUCUCCACUAGACAGUCAGACAAAGGCAAAUAAUGGAGGAUAGAGAGACAGGUGUUCAUUAGGCUGGCCAUAGGGAGAGGAAGGGGGUGACAGCAGGGGAAAAGAAACUGUAGUAUCAGUUGUCACAAGUAGAGCUCGGCCCAGCUUUCCCUCCCUUCCCAGCCACCCUAGAAUUGAGAGUCCCAGUGCCCCUAGUGUCGACUUUCUAUGUACAUCCUAGGGGUGAGGGAGUGCGGGGCAAUGGGUAGGAUAUAAAGCGUAAAGGACAAAUUGCCGCAGUCUUCUAAUUGAUGCUUCCAAACUCAGGAAGGGCUUAUCCAGUGUAAAAUAGCCCCAAGCCCAGCAACCUUCUAGAGGGCUCUGGCUGGGCAGAUAGCUUUUGUUUUUGAGUCUCCAGCCCUCAGUCAAGGAAAAUAUACCAUAGCUGCUUUCUUGUCAGUGGCCUUUGAGAGAAAGAGAAAACAAAUCUAGAAUUCUGUUCAUCUGAUAGACCGGGGGAGCUUUGCUAUGGUAGGAGGUUUAGGAAGGGCCUUUCACGCAUAGAAACCAUUGUUGAUAUUGCCACUCCCCUCUCCUCUGCCUCACAGAACUCCUGAUUCUGUCUUCUUUCUCUCUCUAUAUAUAUAUUUUAAAAUGUUUAAAUGGCUCUAAUUUUUUGUUUUGAAUUUUGAAUUUACCUUUUGGAGUUCUUCUCAUGUGAAUCUACUUGUUAGAUUGUAUUAAUGAGUGUUUCUGGUUUGGGCAUGGGAAGUGAUGGGGGCCUGAAGUUAU
rnacentral:lncRNA from 1 species